UUACUCGGUUGUAGAUAUACUAAAAUUCGAACGAUACAAAGAAGACUAGCAGGGUUACUGCGCAAGGGUGACACGCAUACUUGUGAAGCGCUCCAUAUUUUA
rfam:Octopus bimaculoides Scaffold87315_contig_38, whole genome shotgun sequence.